AGUGAACGCUGGCGGUAGGCCUAACACAUGCAAGUCGAACGGCAGCACAGUAAUAGCUUGCUAUUACGGGUGGCGAGUGGCGGACGGGUGAGGAAUACAUCGGAAUCUACUUUUUCGUGGGGGAUAACGUAUGGAAACUUACGCUAAUACCGCAUACGACCUACGGGUUAAAGCAGGGGAUCUUCGGAUCUUGCGCGAUUUAAUGAGCCGAUGUCGGAUUAGCUAGUUGGCGGGGUAAAGGCCCACCAAGGCGGCGAUCCGUAGCUGGUGUGAGAGGAUGAUGAGCGACACUGGAACUGAGACACGGUACAGACUCCUACGGGAGGCAGAAGUGGGGAAGAUUGGAAAAAGGGGGGAAGACUGAACAAGCCAUACCGGGUGGGUGAAGAAGGGCUGCGGGUUGGAAAGCCGUUUUGUUGGGAAAGAAAAGCAGCAGGUUAAAACAACGCUGUUGUGACGGUACCAAAAGAAGAAGCACCGGCUAACUUCGUG
rnacentral:rRNA from 1 species